rnacentral:rRNA from 1 species
UGUGAACUCGAAGAGUAGGGCGGGACACGUGGUAUCCUGUCUGAAUAUGGGGGGACCAUCCUCCAAGGCUAAAUACUCCUGACUGACCGAUAGUGAACCAGUACCGUGAGGGAAAGGCGAAAAGAACCCCGGCGAGGGGAGUGAAAAAGAACCUGAAACCGUGUACGUACAAGCAGUGGGAGCCUUCAUUUAUGGGGGUGACUGCGUACCUUUUGUAUAAUGGGUCAGCGACUUAUAUUCUGUAGCAAGGUUAACCGUAUAGGGGAGCCGCAGGGAAACCGAGUCUUAACUGGGCGUUAAGUUGCAGGGUAUAGACCCGAAACCCGGUGAUCUAGCCAUGGGCAGGUUGAAGGUUGGGUAACACUAACUGGAGGACCGAACCGACUAAUGUUGAAAAAUUAGCGGAUGACUUGUGGCUGGGGGUGAAAGGCCAAUCAAACCGGGAGAUAGCUGGUUCUCCCCGAAAGCUAUUUAGGUAGCGCCUCGUGAACUCAUCUUCGGGGGUAGAGCACUGUUUCGGCCAGGGGGUCAUCCCGACUUACCGAUCCGAUGCAAACUGCGAAUACCGAAGAAUGUUAUCACGGGAGACACACGGCGGGUGCUAACGUCCGUCGUGAAGAGGGAAACAACCCAGACCGCCAGCUAAGGUCCCAAAGUCAUGGUUAAGUGGGAAACGAUGUGGGAAGGCACAGACAGCCAGGAUGUUGGCUUAGAAGCAGCCAUCAUUUAAAGAAAGCGUAAUAGCUCACUGGUCGAGUCGGCCUGCGCGGAAGAUGUAACGGGGCUAAACCAUGCACCGAAGCUGCGGCAGCGACGCUUAUGCGUUGUUGGGUAGGGGAGCGUUCUGUAAGCCGUCGAAGGUGUGCUGUGAGGCAUGCUGGAGGUAUCAGAAGUGCGAAUGCUGACAUAAGUAACGAUAAUGCGGGUGAAAAACCCGCACGCCGGAAGACCAAGGGUUCCUGUCCAACGUUAAUCGGGGCAGGGUGAGUCGACCCCUAAGGCGAGGCCGAAAGGCGUAGUCGAUGGGAAACAGGUUAAUAUUCCUGUACUUGGUGUUACUGCGAAGGGGGGACGGAGAAGGCUAUGUUAGCCGGGCGACGGUUGUCCCGGUUUAAGCGUGAAGGUGGUGCGACCAGGUAAAUCCGGUUGCGCAUUAACACUGAGGCGUGAUGACGAGGCACCACGGUGCUGAAGUAACAAAUGCCCUGCUUCCAGGAAAAGCCUCUAAGCAUCAGGUAACACGAAAUCGUACCCCAAACCGACACAGGUGGUCAGGUAGAGAAUACCAAGGCGCUUGAGAGAACUCGGGUGAAGGAACUAGGCAAAAUGGUGCCGUAACUUCGGGAGAAGGCACGCUGGUGCGUAGGUGAAGCGACUUGCUCGUGGAGCUGAAACCAGUCGAAGAUACCAGCUGGCUGCAACUGUUUAUUAAAAACACAGCACUGUGCAAACACGAAAGUGGACGUAUACGGUGUGACGCCUGCCCGGUGCCGGAAGGUUAAUUGAUGGGGUUAUCCGUAAGGAGAAGCUCUUGAUCGAAGCCCCGGUAAACGGCGGCCGUAACUAUAACGGUCCUAAGGUAGCGAAAUUCCUUGUCGGGUAAGUUCCGACCUGCACGAAUGGCGUAAUGAUGGCCAGGCUGUCUCCACCCGAGACUCAGUGAAAUUGAACUCGCUGUGAAGAUGCAGUGUACCCGCGGCAAGACGGAAAGACCCCGUGAACCUUUACUAUAGCUUGACACUGAACACUGGUCCUUGAUGUGUAGGAUAGGUGGGAGGCUUUGAAGCGUGGACGCCAGUCUGCGUGGAGCCAACCUUGAAAUACCACCCUUUAAUGGCUGGUGUUCUAACGUGGGCCCGUAAUCCGGGUUGCGGACAGUGUCUGGUGGGUAGUUUGACUGGGGCGGUCUCCUCCUAAAGAGUAACGGAGGAGCACGAAGGUUAGCUAAUCCUGGUCGGACAUCAGGAGGUUAGUGCAAUGGCAUAAGCUAGCUUGACUGCGAGCGUGACGGCGCGAGCAGGUGCGAAAGCAGGUCAUAGUGAUCCGGUGGUUCUGAAUGGAAGGGCCAUCGCUCAACGGAUAAAAGGUACUCCGGGGAUAACAGGCUGAUACCGCCCAAGAGUUCAUAUCGACGGCGGUGUUUGGCACCUCGAUGUCGGCUCAUCACAUCCUGGGGCUGAAGUAGGUCCCAAGGGUAUGGCUGUUCGCCAUUUAAAGUGGUACGCGAGCUGGGUUUAGAACGUCGUGAGACAGUUCGGUCCCUAUCUGCCGUGGGCGCUGGAGAAUUGAGGGGGGCUGCUCCUAGUACGAGAGGACCGGAGUGGACGCAUCACUGGUGUUCGGGUUGUCAUGCCAAUGGCAUUGCCCGGUAGCUAAAUGCGGAAAAGAUAAGUGCUGAAAGCAUCUAAGCACGAAACUUGCCCCGAGAUGAGUUCUCCCUGAGACUUUAAGUCUCCUGAAGGAACGUUGAAGACGACGACGUUGAUAGGCCGGGUGUGUAAGCGCAGCGAUGCGUUGAGCUAACCGGUACUAAUGAACCGUGAGGCUUAACCUUACAACGCCAAAG